rnacentral:lncRNA from 1 species
CCCGCGGCGAGCAGAGUUGAGGACCGGCCAGCGGGGCGUCCCGGGCUAGACCUGGGAGAUGUCCGAGUGACUGGGGGAGCCCCGGCCGUGCAAGGUGAGAACUCAGAGAAGCGGGCGGAAGGCCAGGCGGGUGACCGGCGGGACCUUCCCAGAGCCCAGCGCACCUGGGAACAGGCGGCGUUGAGGUGGCAGCUGGGUCAGGGUGCCUCCGACCGCGGACACCCACUGCUGAGCACGGAGACAUUCCUUCUGAAGAACCAGGAAAGCGGUGCCAGUUUGCGAGAGGGGCGGAACUAACUUCCAGCCAGGGCCCGCUGUGCGCCAGGCACCGAGCUGAGCGCUCGGAUAAGGAGUGCGCGGCGGCGAAGGCAGUCAAGAGUGAUCUUUCCAGACGUUUGGCAAUGAGCCGGAGAGGCCUGUAGUUCAAGAGGUAGUAAAAGUAAAGGAGACAGGUGAUUUCUUUCUCUUUCCCCCACCCCAGCCCCCUCACCCAGCAUGAGGUGGCGCUCUCAAAAGAGCUGGGGGGGCGGGGGGAUAAGAGAUGGGGUAAUUAACGGCGCAAGAUCGCAGAAAAGGAAAAUGAGGAAGGGGUGGUGGAGAGGGAGGAAGAAAUCAGAGAAGGGACACACCUCUUCCUACAAGACUUCAAGGAUGCAUGCAUAAACAGAAAUCUUUUGAGAUGGGGAGGAGGCCUACUGAGCCCUGCAUGUUUCCAUGCAUCAGCUGCCUAGAUGACCCUAAAGUCAUCCAUAGGCCUUCUGAGGUUACUGCCCUUUCAGACUUCAGCGCAACUGGCUCAGAUCCCUGUUCCUCUUAAAGUGGGAAACCCUGCCUACCUGCCAACAUUUCCAAUUCUCCUAAUUAUCCUAUUGCUCCAAUUAUUUCUCCUAAUUUACAGUUCUCGUAAUUAUCCUAUUGGCCCCAAUUUUCUAUUCCCAGUAUUCCACUGUGCGCUUUUAGGAAAUUUGUCACUAUAGCCUGGAUACCACCCCAUCUAUAUUCCCCCCAAAUAUAGCACCAUAUGUGAAAACAAAGCACCCAGUGUUAUAUGACUGUUAAAUAAAUUAUGGUUUAUUUGUAACCAUUAAAAAAUCAUGUUGAAGAAAAAGAUCGAUGAUACGGAAAAUAUCAGCAAUUGAAAAGCACCUCAUAAGAUAAUACUAGCUUGUAAUAUAUACAUGUACUAUGCAUAUCACGUAUAGAUAUCAUGCUAGAUUAAAAAAAUGGGAUUUUUAUUUUCUGUGAUGUCUUCUUUUUCUUGUUUUUACAGUACAUUACUAUUUCUCUUUAAAUCAGGAAAAAUGAUAUUUUAAAGCAUUUUUAAGAAAGUUUUUUUUUUUUUUUAAGAUCUUUGCGGAGUUGAAAAGAGUUAUUAGAAAUCAAGAAAGGAGGGGAGCCUGGCUGGCUCAAUCGGUAGAGUAUGUGACUAUCCAUCUGAGGGUCAUGAGUUCAAGCCCUACCUUGGGCAUGGAGCCUACUUUAAAAAAAUGAAAAGAGGAAUCAAGGAGAUUGGAAAGGGAUCUUUGAAGGAUGGAAGGGACUUAGGUCAGCACUGAUGGGCUAGUUGAGGAGGCUGCCUUAGGCAGGAGGGACACAAAGUGAGAACUGGAGGGAAUAGUCCAGUAACAGUAGCAGGUCAGUUUGGUUGAAGCAUAGGAUUCAAGGGAGAGAAAAGUAGGAGACCCAGUCUGGAAAAAUAAGAUGGGACCGUAGUCCUAAAUGCCAAGCUGAACCCUUUGUGAUUUGUGGCUGGCAAGAACCACUGGCCCUUGAGCUGUGCAGGUGAUAAAUGUCAAAGUAAAUUUUCCUGUAACCUCUUACUUAAUGAGGUUCUGGAUCUCAGCCCUUCUAUCGUAAUGAUAGUUGGACAUGUGAUUGACUCAGAGCAGUGAGGCAGGGGCAACCGUAUUUUGCAUUCCAGCUGCUUACAGAAUGAGAAUUGGCCCUUGCUUCUCUGCCUGUUAAUCACUACAAUUUUUAUUCACAAGGCACCAGAUUUUCAGAGAGAACAGAUUAGCAAAGAGCGAAGCUGAAAGGAAGAAAUGUGCACCUUAAACCAGGGCUUUAAAAAAAAAAGUUUUUUAGAACUUUCUGUGAGUUCCACAGAUAAAUGAGAUCACACAGUAUUUAUCUUUUUCUCUGACUUAUUUCACUUAGCAUAAUGCCCUCAAGGUCCAUCCAUGUUGUCACAAAUGAUAGUAUUUCCUUCUCAUAUUGCUGAAUAAUGUUCUUUGCCAACGUUUUUGACUCUGACCUUCUAUACGAAAUAUAUUUCACAUCUCAACCCAGAAUAUACACACACACGUACACACCUCCGAGAAGUUUCAUGAAGUAUUACUGUUACUUUAUGCACUGCUGGCUGAGACUUUCAACUUCAUGAUUUUUAUUUCUUUUGAAAUACCAGUCAGAACCUACUACAUUGAUUUUAUAACCCACUAUAGGGUUACAAAAUGCUUCAAAGGAUGUUGAAAAGAGGCUAGACUAUUCCCUGCUAUGUUUGCAGUUCUCAUUUAACUAGCCAUACAGACUGUGACCUUAAGUUUGCCAUGUUUACAUGUCCCAGAAAUCAACAGGACAGGUGAGACUCUCGGGAUGUGGUGGGGGUGGGGAUAGAAGGAUUGGCACAAGCCAUGUUUGUAUUCCUCUUCCCUUCUUAGCAAAUAUUUCCUGACACCAGCAUCUCUCAGCAGCUGUAAAUGUGUUCUUCUUUGUCUAGCUUGAGAUACAGAUUGAACUUCAGACAAGGCCGGACUACCGUGUAAACCAGAGACAACUUUUCAUUUGAAUGAACAGAAUCACAGACUACAAUGAAAGGGGGAAAAAAAUGUAUCUUGACUGUGACAGUCCAUAGAAGCUGUCUUACCACUGUUGGAAUAUCAUAGAGACAGUAAGUACCACCCCUUUCUUCAAAGUCCAGAACCAAUGAGGAGAUGAAAAUAACUCCAUCACCAACAGAGCUGAACUGAAGAAUGUGGCUUAGCUGAUGACCCGUAGGCUUUUUAAGAUUCCCUGAAUUAAAAUUCUCUCCCCCAAAACUCCAACCUUCACCUUGAGGGGGCCUAGCCGCUUUAACUGUGUCUGCUUAGAGAAGAUUGCACUCUCUGAGGGCAGGCAGAUCCAAAUUCACCAAUUAGAUAAGUCGCUCCUUCUGGAACACCCAGGAUACAUUCUCUCCUACCUGACCUCCUAUGAAAACAAACAAGCAAACAAAGUUGGGGAAUAAGGAUUUAUCCCUGCCCAAACAAACUGGAUCUGAUUCAUUAGUUUGGCAGUUGAAUGGGAAAGUGUAUUAACUCAGCGAAUUAUAAAAAAUGGCAAAUACAUGCCUUAACAUUUCAUUUUCACUUAAAACCUAUAAGGAACACCCAUUUGCCAAUCUUUUGAUGUGAGCCAAACAUUUUCUUUGAGGAACAGUGCUGAUUACAGUUUUCUUGAGCCCUAUCUCACAUAAAACCUAUCUGUGGUAUAUUUUCUGUGCUUUCCAAUUUGUUUCUUUAAUGUUGACUAAGGACUUGGGAUGCCUGGGUGGCUCGAUCUGUUAAGCGUCUGACUUCUGCUCAGAUCAUGAUCUCACAGUUCAUGGGUUUGAGCCCUGCCUUGGGCUCUGUACGGACAGCUCAGAAUCUGGAGCCUGCUUCAGAUUCUGUCUCUCCCUCUCUCUCUCUCUGUCCCUCCCCUGCCCCUCUCUCUCUCUCUCUCUCCCUCUCUCUCAAAAAUAGAUAAACAUUAAGAAAUAUUUUAAAGUUGCCUAAGGACUUAAAACAUCUUGAAAAGCAAUAUCAGAUUGCUUUUCAAAGCCACUAAGGCCAAAAAGAUGGAGGCUUCUUCUUUAAAAAAAAAAAUCCUUUGUAAUUGUCUCACCCACACCUGGUUUGACAGUUUUUAAUUUAUUUUUUUUUCAACGUUUAUUUAUUUUUGGGACAGAGAGAGACAGAGCAUGAACGGGGGAGGGGCAGAGAGAGAGGGAGACACAGAAUCGGAAACAGGCCCCAGGCUCCGAGCCAUCAGCCCAGAGCCUGACGCGGGGCUCGAACUCCCGGACCGCGAGAUCGUGACCUGGCUGAAGUCGGACGCUUAACCGACUGCGCCACCCAGGCGCCCCCGGUUUGACAGUUUUCAACUGGUCAUUAGCUAAACCUUCAACUGACAUUUCAUAGAAACAACUCUUUCUCUUUAUACACAUGCUUCAUCAGUUUGUGUAACUUAAAUUAAUUACACUCUGGCAUACAGUUGUCAUAAGCAAGUUUGGGACCAAACACAACAGACUCCCAUUAGGCAUCUAACUCAACUAGUAAGAAGAAGUGUGUUGGAAUUCCACAGAUGAACUCAUUAAUCCAAAGCGUUCAGCAGGUCACAGGUAGUAGUCAUUAUGUUUAAUCAGAGGGAAUGGAACGUGUUGAUUCCAGAGAGUCCAUUAAGAGAGCCAUUAAUGCUCAUAGACCAGUAUGACCGACUCUGUAUGCGUAUACCUUAACAUUCUUCUUCCGUCACAGAUCCAUUUUAUAAUCCCCUCAAAAUCACUGUCCCUCCACUCCCAUUUGGCUAAACAUGGCUUUAAAUGGUUUAAGAUUGGAAUGGCUAUCAAAGAAAUUCAAAUGGUAACAUCACAUAAUGCAUUAGCAAAAUAUAUGUAUCUUAAACACUUUCCAGUGCUAAUAAGAUGGUGUGAUUGUAUUCAGAAAAAGCUGUUGCAAUGUGAAUUGGUAUAAUCCUUUUAAGAAGCAGUUGACACUACUUCUGAAGAGCCUUAAAAGAGAUAUGGCUCCCUUUUGAUUCAUCAAUACCACUCCUAGAAACUUUUCCUUGGGAAGUAAUCCUCCCCCAAAGAGAACGUCCACACUCACAAUAUGUGCUACUGCCUUUUUGUGAUAGUGAAAGUUGAAGUAAUUUACGGUGUGUAACAUUGUGUAACUUACCACUGAGUAAGCAGAAAGGGGUAACUUGGAAAACACUUAAUGACAUAUUAUUUGGAAAAAAGAUACAAUUUGUUCUACCAUACUAAGAACCUGAAACAGAAUUGUAUACUUUAACCGGGUGAAUUCUGUGAAUCAUAUCUCAACUUUUUAAAAAAGAUACAAUUCUGUAUUUUUGCUUUUGUAUCAGCCAAGAUCAGCAGGAAACAGAUGGCCUACUCUGAAAUGUGUAACUGAAGAGAGUUAAUGAAGGGACAGUGUGCAAAGAUGUGGGCACGUUUGAGGGAAGCCAACAAGGGGUAAUGAAGCACCCCAGGGCUAGCAAAGAGAGGAAACCCAGGGCUCAGUGAGAACAAUAGCUGAUGGAAAGGGAAGGCCAAUAGGAACGUACAGGAAUACAGCCCUACCCCUGUCUCUCUCUUGCCCUCAGAUCUCCUGUGCUGCCUCCCACUGGCUGAACCCGAGAGGAAGCCUAAGGGCAAGUGAGCCCUGAUGACGUUGUCCUUCAAGGCCAGCCUCCGGAAAAUGAUGGAGGGUAGAUCUGGAAGGACAAAGGCACAAUAUCUAGCAGGUAUGUGAUCCUAUAACAACGUAAGAACUGUCUAAGCAUAUGGCCAAGGAUCUUAAGGGAACCCAGAAAACCAAGGUUUCCAGAGAUAAAAAGUGAAGGUAGCUAGAGAGCAGGGAGGGUAGGUGGAGGGAAGAGGAAAGGUUGUUAACUGAGGCUGAGACAAGGAUGAGAGGCAGAAGCAGGCACAUCUUAUUUUAUUUUAUUUUAUUUUUUUGCCAAAUACUUAGCUGGAGACUGAGCUCUGGAAGAGAUUAAAAGGAGAGACAGGAGCUAAAUUAGACUAGAGUGCUGGAAAUUCUUCCCCUAUUGGCUAUUACCCUGUAUUUCUCCUUCCUAGCUAAACUCCAUGCCUUCAACAAAUAAUUGUUUAGUACCCAUCAUGUGCCGGGAACUGUUAGGCCCUGGGGAUUGAGGAGGGAACAAAAUUAACAUCCUUGCUCUCCUGCAGUUUACAUCCUGGUGGGGAGGAAAACAGACCAUAGAUAAGUAAAUAUGUCACGAGUGUAAGUGUUAUAAAGAAAAACAUGGAAGAGCAGGGAAAUAAAAUUCUGCCCAUUCCACAUCUUAAAAACCUCUUGGUUUAGACCACACAUGCCCCUCCACACACACCAGAGCUCCUGAGUUUAUUAAGCCGUGCACAUCUCUCACCUGGACAAAGAUCGUGACACCUUCCUGCCCCCAGCACCUUCCAAGCAGUCCUCCGCUCUGCCGUGAGAAUCUUCCUGAAAUGAAUCACGUCAGUAUCCUGCUUAAAACCCUCCAAGGCUCCUGUUUGCUUACAAUGUGGAAAACCAUCUCACCUCCUUACGACGACGGACCUUUUUGAACCUUCUCGGUCCUUCACGCACCUCUCCCUCUCCCGCUCUCCUUUUCUACCCACACUAAUUGUCUGUAGUUUACUGGCCACGCCACACUGUCUCUCAUUCCCAUAUCUUUGUUCAUGCUGCUCUUUCCACUUACAAUGCCCUGCCAUGCCCUCCACCUUCUCCCAAAUUUGGCAACCCUGUCCUGAUUCUUUUAACCCCAUUAGCUGUCACGUCUUUGGUCAAACUUCUCUGCCCUUCCCAGGUGUGAGGGAGCAUCUCCUAGCUCCCUCCUUCAUGUUAUCAGUGUAUCUUAUAGGUACCUAUGAAUAUAUUUAUUAUACCAUAUAAUCUUAUUUGUUAGACUUCAAGAUGCUUUGGUUUAGGGGCGCCUGGGUGGCGCAGUCAGUUAAGCGUCCGACUUCAGCCAGGUCACGAUCUCGCAGUCCGUGAGUUCGAGCCCCGCGUCGGGCUCUGGGCUGAUGGCUCAGAGCCUGGAGCCUGUUUCCGAUUCUGUGUCUCCCUCUCUCUCUGCCCCUCCCCCGUUCAUGCUCUGUCUCUCUCUGUCCCAAAAAUAAAUAAACGUUGAAAAAAAAAAAAAAAAGAUGCUUUGUUUUAAAUAUAAUCCGGGGCGCCUGGGUGGCGCAGUCGGUUAAGCGUCCGACUUCAGCCAGGUCACGAUCUCGCGGUCCGUGAGUUCGAGCCCCGCGUCGGGCUCUGGGCUGAUGGCUCAGAGCCUGGAGCCUGUUUCCGAUUCUGUGUCUCCCUCUCUCUCUGCCCCUCCCCCGUUCAUGCUCUGUCUCUCUCUGUCCCAAAAAUAAAUAAACGUUGAAAAAAAAAAUUUAAAUAUAAUCCAUGGGUCGAACCCCUUCAUUGGUUCGUGCCUGACCCUCUUUUGUUACUGAUCAUCCACUGUAAAAGUUAGAAUUGACAACUUACACAUAUCCCCCCCCCAAACCCAACGGUUAAUCUUGUGUUUAUUAUUUUCUUGCUCCUAAAAAUAGUUUUAUCUAGAAAAUAAAUAUAUUAUCAAAAAUUAAUUUUAAAAAUUACCCUGACUCUGAUAUCAUGUCUAUGUGAAAUCUAAAAAACAAUAGAUGAACAGGGGCGCCUGGGUGCCUCAGUCGGUUAAGCAUCCAACUUCGGCUCAGGUCGUGAUCUCAUAGUUUGCGAGUUCGAGCCCCACGUUGGGCUCUGUGCUGACGGCUCAGAGCCUGGCGCCUGCUUCAGAUUCUGUGUCUCCCCCUCUCUCUGCCCCUCCCCUGCUCAUGCUCUGUGUCUCUCUGUCUCUCAAGAAUAAGUAAAUGUUUAAAAAAAUUAUUUAAAAAAAUAGAUGAACAAACAAAAAGCAGAAACAGACCCCUAAAUAUAGAGAAGGAACCAGUGGUUGUCAGUAGGGCGGGGGGAGGAAGAUGGGCAAAAUAGAUGAAGGGGAGAGAGAGGGCCAGGCUUUCAGCUGCGGGAUGAAUAAGUCAUGGGGACGAAAGGGACAUAGUCAAUGGCAUUGUAAUAGCCUUGUGUGGUGACAGAUGGUAGCUGCAUAUUUGUGCCGAGCGGAGUGAAGUAUAGAGCUGUUGAAUCACUAUGUUGUCCACCUGAAAUUAAUUUAACACGGUGCACCAGCUACACUUCAAUUUUAAAAAUCACCCCAGCUUUAUAAAAAUUUAAAGUUAAAAAGUCUUGCUUUUUACAAAGGUUGAAGGGCGCCUGGAUGGCUCAGUCAGUUAAGCAUCCAACUUCGGCUCAGGUCAUGAUCUUACGGCUCUUGCGUUCCAGCCCCUCCUCAGGCUCCCUCUUGUCAACAUGGAGCCUGCUUCGGAUCCUCUGUCUCCCCCUCUCUCUUUCAAAACUAAAUAAACAUUAAAAACAUUUUUUAAAGUUGAGAUUGAAUGUGUUUAUAUAUACUUAACAGCUAUAUAUAUUUCCUCUUGUGAAAUAUCUGUUCGUAUCUUUCUGCCCAUUUUCUUUUUUUUUUUUUUUUUGUCCUUUUCUCAUUAACUUUCCGGAUUUCCUGAUGUGUUCUUUUAAUAAUCCUUUGCGGUUUUUUUCCCCCUUAGAAUUCAAGUACACAGAACAAGUUUAAUUUCUAGAAAUUUAUGUCUAUAUAUUUACAUAAACACUUAAAUCUAUAUUUUUGUGUAUGCAAACCUGCAUGCAUAUUCCCAAAACAUGUAUUUUAGUUAUUUACUUUUUUUAAUUUUUAAAAAUGUUUAUUUAUUUUGAGAGAGAGAGAGACAGAGACAGAGCGCAAGCGGGGGAGGGGCAGAGAGAGCGGGAGACACAGAAUCCGAAGCAGGCCCCAGGCUCCAAGCUGUCAGCACAGAGCCCCAUGCGGUGCUUGAACCCACAAACCCUGAGAUCAUGACCUGAGCCACCCUGGUGCCCCUAGUUGGUUUCUUCAUUAAAGAGCAUUGUGCCCUACAUAAUAUCCUGGGACUUCUUUUUCACUUUCCGUGUUAUUUUGUUAAGAUUUAUCUGGGCCUGCUGCAUGUAACCGAGUUUAUUUGCAUUGUGGCCGCUGUAGAUUGUUCUGGAGUGUGAAUAUACUAGUAUGACUUUGCCUCUCGAUGCAGAGGCUCUUGGCACCCUGUGUUCUUCCCCUUGGCCCGUCUCAGGUCUUAGGCAAACAUGUGGUGGCCAGUUUCGUGAGCUCCCAACACUGACAAUUCCCGAUGCGAGCGUUAGGCCUUGGGUGUCUCUAGUUUCUGCUUCAGGCCCUUCUGUGCCACAAGAGCCUUCUCGGCAGCCCGGCAGGCGCAGCCUGAAAGUGAGGAGAGCUAACCCUCGACCAAAGGGGGAUGUGAGCCAAGAGAUAAAUGCCCCAGGCUCCCAUCCUUCGGAUGAACAAUUCUGGGAGGCAUUCUGUACACCUCUCAGAGGCGUCCGUGGAAUCUCAUGCCCCGUGUCAGCCUCCCUUCCUGCUCUGCCUCACCCUUCUUUCCUUCCCUCCCGAGGCCCGAGGCCCGAGAUCACUUCCCAGAUAAA